AGAGUUUGAUCAUGGCUCAGGACGAACGCUGGCGGCGUGCUUAACACAUGCAAGUCAUGGGGGUCUGUAGCAAUACAGGCAACCGGCGAGCGGGUGCGUAACACGUGAGCAACCUACCGAGAUGUGGGGGAUAGCCGGCCCAACGGCCGGGUAAUACCGCAUACGAUCAUUUGGGGGAGUCCCCGAAUGAGGAAACUCGUAAGAGGCAUUUCGAGGGGCUCGCGGCCUAUCAGCUAGUUGGCGAGGUAAUGGCUCACCAAGGCGACGACGGGUAGCUGGUCUGAGAGGAUGGCCAGCCACAUUGGGACUGAGAAACGGCCCAGACUCCUACGGGAGGCAGCAGUGGGGAAUCUUGCGCAGUGGUCGAGAGACUGACGCAGCGACGCCGCGUGUGGGAGGACGCCCUUCGGGGUGUAAACCACUGUUGCCCGGGACGAACAAGCGGUUUCGACCGCUCUGACGGUACCGGGUGAGGAAGCACCGGCUAACUCCGUGCCAGCAGCCGCGGUAAUACGGAGGGUGCGAGCGUUGUCCGGAAUCACUGGGCGUAAAGGGCGCGUAGGUGGCGCGGGAAGUCAACGGUGAAAGUUCAGGGCUCAACCCUGAAUCGGCCGUCGAUACUCCCGGGCUCGAGCACUGUAGAGGCAGGUGGAAUUCCGGGUGUAGCGGUGGAAUGCGUAGAGAUCCGGAAGAACACCGGUGGCGAAGGCGGCCUGCUGGGCAGUAGCUGACACUGAGGCGCGACAGCGUGGGGAGCAAACAGGAUUAGAUACCCUAGUAGUCC
rnacentral:rRNA from 1 species